UAUACAUUUUGGUCCUUAUUUAUACUUUUGGUGUUUCACACCACAGAAACAACAUGGUAUUUAAACAUGUGUGUCCAAUUUAUUUUACUUAAGAGUAUGGUCCCAAGGUGCAUCCAUUUAGCUAAAUAUGUCUAGAGCUUAUCCCUCUUUAUGACAGAGUAGAACUCCAUUGGGUAAAAAAGCCCACAUCUUCUUUAUCCAUUCAUUGGUUGAUUUUCUCUACUUCUGACUUCAAGAGAAAUGAUGGGCAGUAUCCACAUCACUAAUACAUAAACUCUGUGCCUGACACUGGAGACCACUGUCCUCCCCAGGAGUAGACAAACUGCCCUCCACCAGGGUUGGCUCUGUGCAUGAGGACCAGUCCUGGCGCCACACACAGUAGCCACUUAAUAAAUGCUGCUUGAGUUGCUAGCAAAUACAGCAUGGAUUAGAAAAUUUUCUAUCUUGUUUACCAGCAUGAGCUGUAGAAGGAACCCAAGAGGGCAGCUAUGUCCUCCUACAGGACCCACCCAUAGGUGGGUUUGCAUAAGUUUCCAACAAGGUGCAAAGGGAGAUACGGUUUGAUGCCCUCAUCUCCCCGAGUCAAGUAUCGCAAAUGACAUUCUAUCUGACUGGACUUGAGAGACCAAGUGCAUAGGCAGACCUGGGUUCCCAUCCCUCUGCACCCACAUCUGUCCAGCUAUGGCCCCUGGGUGCUAGACUCUGCCUCUUUGAACUUUGGUGUCCUCUUCAAUAAUCGAGAGUUGGACCUUCAAAGGUUGCUAAACAGACUGAAGGUUGUGUGUGUGUGUAUUUUAUAGCAUCUGGCCUCAGAUAAACAUGUAAAAAUUAUAGUAGUCCUUGUGAUUUCUGUUCCUUCUUUUUCCCACAUGAGGAAACUGAAGCUCUGAGGGGCAAUGGAAUGGGCUCCACGUCUCAGAGGCACUAAGCUGUGGAUGUGAACCUGUCUGACCCCACUGUCCAGCUGUCCUUUUCUCCUGUGACCUACCAACUGCUCAACCCAUCUGAAGACUCAGGGACUUUGACUGGUUCUCUCUAAAAGAAGGAAAUAUUUCAGAGACUACAUAGCCCUUCUCUGAUGUGGACCUGGAUGUUUAACAGUGAAAGUUUGAAUACUGCAAUCUUGUGAUAUACAUUGAGAUACACAGGCCUUAGGGAGAUGCUUUGGAAAACAUGUUGGCAACAUGAGGUCACGGAACAUGCUGGAAGCAGCGCUGGGCGCACCCCCCUGGGACUCACCCGUGACUCGCCUUCUCCUCUCCACUCAAGCCUGUUUGGGAAGAGUUCUAAUUAAAGGAAUACAUUCAGCAGUCAUUAGAAGACAUAUUUUUCCUGGGCUAUUCUGUCAGGAUCCUAGGACCAUCACGGCAAAUGACUGCUGGUUCAAGUUCCCUGGGACAUCUGUCAUGGCAAGCACACACGAGUGUGACCUCAAGGACAGGUACUCUGAAGAGCAGCUCACACACAAAGGCUGUGUCCCCUGGAGAACCGAGGUGGGGGACAGUUAAAGGUGUGCAGCACUCCCUUGUUAUAUUCUGGCAGCAACCAUAUAAGGAGUAAGUCACCCAGUACUGAAGCCCUGGUUCUAGGUAGACAAUAAAUGCUCCUGGGAGUGUCAAAGAGGACCAGACACUCCUACACCAAGAAGCUUCCAUCAAAGUAACCUUUAAUACAAUGAAAAUGUCUUUGGUCCUUCUUAUGCAUAUGUGAUCUCACCUGUGCAGGUCUUAGCUGAGAGAGAAAAUGAAAUGACAUUUUACCUUAAUCAUCAACUAUAAUAAAUUUAAAUGUCUUACAAAAAUAAGUAAAUCUUAGACAAACCAAGAGUAACAAUA